GCCGGUGUGGCGGAAUUGGCAGACGCGCACGACUCAAAAUCGUGUUUCUAACGAAGUGUCGGUUCGAUCCCGACCACCGGUA
rnacentral:tRNA from 1 species